GUGUGUUUAUCACUAUGGAGUUUGUGAUUCCUCAUUUAAUAACAUGCUCCUCUGGGUAGCUUUAUUUAUAUACUGUUGACUCAUAGAAGAACGUGGCAAUUGCAGCACCCCUAUCAAUAGAAGCCAGAUAGAAAAAAUAGAAAAAAUAGAAAAUAAAACAUAGAUUCCAUUUAAUACACACUCAAUGGAUUUAUUUUUAUAUUAGUUUUUUUUUUUUUUAAUACCAAUUGGGCAUGAAUGCUGGAUAGUAAUGCAGUUAAGAAUCGCAAGACCACGGAUAUGGAAGUUUGAAUCCUGAUUCAUGAAACUCAAUAUCUGUUUCAUUCGAAUCCCACAGCAUCACGUUAUUUUCCAACAUGAGAAUUAUCACUUGGUUUGCCACAUUCCGUCACGCUGCUCCGAAUCAUACAAUAUUCGGAUUUCAGGAACUGGGUUCUCUCGAAUCAACGCUGAAACCUGCGUAUACCCGGCGUUUAUUAAUGCGGUAACAUGCUACGCAAACUUUUUAUUGUGUGAGAUAUGGUUUCGCCCAGAUUGGCUGUCUUUGGAGUGAUAACUGUUUUGAAACGGAUGCCGGAGAGUCGCUGGUGUCCCUUGUGGGUCAUGGUGGUCGAAGGAGCUGCAGAAAUCUCAAAGCAGUUCGAGCUACCGCUGUGAGUCGGAGCUAGAGAAGGGCAAGUCUGUUGUGUGCGAUUGGCGACGCCCUAAACUCGUUCGAUGUCUACAUGUCAAGGUUGAAGCGCGUAUGGAUGGCCCAAGUUGCGAGUAUCAAGGGCGAGUGCUGCAAUGCCCUCCACCGGUUUUCCCCCGGAAUCUUGCGAGACCACAGCAACAUCUCUGAACGCCGGAUCACUAUUCUGUUGAUGAUGAAUUGUCAGGGAAGCGUUUCAUCAAAUUUCGGGAGUUCCUCUUGUCACUUCUCUUCGAAAUCUGCACGGUGUUAUUCAUUACUCCAGGCUUGGGAACACCCUAGGAAAUCCUACAUGCAGACUGAGCACUGAGAUUGUCUUCUGAGUGAGAUCUGGCACAUCGGAGGUAUGUCAGUUGGUGGGGACUCUUUGAUAUUUUAUGAACAGUGCUUAGAUUAUACUCGAGGGCCUCAAUCGAUCACUUUUUGAUUAUACUUGUCCUUGGAGGACUGUAGUACUGCAGUCUUUUUCUUAGUGAUGAUUGGGUUACAAUGAUCAUCUGUGACAUUGAAUUCUGAAAUUGUUUCAGAUUGAGGCGGAUCGGUUAAUGGUCCGACGUAAGAAUGGAUGAAGCGGAAAUCCGCAAACAUGGAACUUAGAGACUUAGUGCUUCGUUCUUGUUGUUAUCCACUGGGAAUUCAUGGCGUAUGUUAGACUAGAUCUGACGACCCAUCAUGCUAUGUAGUAAGAGAUUGUUUCGAUUUCUGUUGUCCUGGGUUACUUCUGAAUCAACAUACAAAACAGCAAGAGGAGGCCUGAUUUUCCAAGUGAACGUAACCAUUCGACCUCCGUUGCUUCUUGACCUAUUUCUUUAGUCAGCCUUUAGUAUGUCAUUUUGUUCAGCUUCCUCUCUCUAUUAUCUUACAUUACAAGUUGCAUCAAUAGUCGUAAGCCUCAAUUAGAUUUUCCGAGACAGGGGCUGGAGCUGGCUGAAAAUUAGUGCACCUAAAUUAGCUGGUUCGUAACCCUCGAAAAUGUUUAAGCCGUUGGAUGUGCAUGAUGCCUUCUAUGAAAUAAAAGCCGUCCUUGUCUCCAGUCAUUUCAGAGAUUGUCUUGCAAGGACCUUCAAGUGGACAUUAGAAUUUCUUUCGGUUUCCAUGGAGCCUACUGUUGGAUGCGCCUACACUGCAGCCAGUGGGUUUCUACAUCGACCACAGUAAUGCGUCACUUAUGGAACCUUCAAGAAUUGUGUCCUCUCUAGUCUCUGUGAUGUUGGAUUUUCCCGUUCUGUAGUGAAUUAAAAUCAUUUCAUGUCACGUGCCUGACAAUCGCCUCUUUCAUGAGUAACAAGCUGUUAAACAUCUUGUGUGUUUUUAGGUUAUCCGACGUUGAAGAAGUCCAAACAAUACAACUAUUUUUGUGACUAGUGUACAAUCAUCUUAGACAAGAUUUGUCUCGUUUUUUAAUCGAUGCUUCCUUCGUUGGCAUCAGCUUGACGAGUCGGAGAAAUUGUGUGUGUGCAGGGAGAGUUAAAGGAUUUCGUUACAUUUAGUGGAGUAUCAUUUGCUGAGGUGCUUGACAUCAAUCGAGAAAAGGUGGUUUUGACUUUCAGGUUGAUGCUUGAACCAGAGGCUCACAGGUUGUAUCCUCAGGAAUUGGUCAUAUAUAAAGUAUCCGGUGUGGAGUCACGACAUUGAGAUAUUAAGUCAAAUAGAAUUUGGCAAAUACUCGUACUCGCUCCUCAGAUUAUCAAUUAACAUAGAAUGCUUAAAUUCGCCCCUGAACUCAAAUGAGGGAAAUCUUGAAAGAACUCUUCACCUAGCAAACUAGCAUUCAACACAGCGGUAUUUGACUCAAGAAUUCAUGGUGAGCAUUAAUUAUCAGUCAUUUAAUGAUCCAGGAUUGCCCAAUUAGGUUUAUGAUUAUGAACGUGAGUUAGCGACUGAUUAUCAACAGACGCCGAGCUCCGAUCAUAAUAAUAAAUUCAUAAAUAUUCAGUCAAAAAUAAUCUGCAUCUAUCUUUCAAGCCGUGCAAGUUGCAAGUAGAAAUGUUUUGAUAGGACAUUCUUGAAUUUAUCCAAAACCACCAGUAGUCCACCUUCAACUCUAGGUGCAAUAUGACAGGAUAAACUCCUUACUUCACGUUGUACACACGCAUACAGUAAAUAUGAGCCAGUUGUCUCAGCUUUAUUUGUUGUGCCAA